AAUAACACCUCAGAUCGCGUCGGUCUCUGUACCGGCGACUUAUCUUUCAAAUGCCUGACUUAUCAACUGACGAUGGUAGACUCCGCGUCUACCAUGGUCGUUACGGGUAACGGGGAAUCAGGGUUCGAUUCCGGAGAGGGAGCCUGAGAAACGGCUACCACAUCCAAGGAAGGCAGCAGGCACGCAAAUUACCCACUCCCGGCACGGGGAGGUAGUGACAAAAAAUAACGAUACGGGACUCUUUUAGAGGCCCCGUAAUCGGAAUGAAUACACUUUAAAACCUUGUUUAAAGGUCAAUCGGAGGGAAAGUCUGGUGCCAGCAGCCGCGGUAACUCCAGCUCCGAUAGCGUAUAUUAAAAUUGUUGCGGUUAAAAAGCUCGUAGUUGGUUCUGCGUACCACGCUGUCGGUACACCGCCUGUCGGUGACACUGGCAUGCCGUGGUAUGUCCUGUCGGUGGCGGCCGUCUAAGCCCCGCGGAAAGCGGCACCGGGUCAUGCCGAGCCGUGUUCAUACCGCGGGGUCCAAGCGCGGUCGCCGACUCCUAUCCUACCGCGGUGCCCUUCAUUGAGUGUCGAGGUAGGCCGACACGUUUACUUUGAACAAAUUAGAGUGCUUAAAGCAGGCUCAAAUUUCUGCCUGAAUAGUGGUGCAUGGAAUAAUGGAACAGGCCCUUGGUCCUAUUCUGUUGGUCUCCGGGACACAAGGUAAUGAUCAAUAUGGACAGUGCGGGGGCAUUCGUAUUGCGGCGUUAGAGGUGAAAUUCUUGGAAAGUCGCAAGACGCACUAGAGCGAAAGCAUUUGCCAAGUAUGUCU
rnacentral:rRNA from 1 species